rnacentral:rRNA from 1 species
UGGGGAAUAUUGGACAAUGGGGGAAACCCUGAUCCAGCAAUGCCGCGUGAGUGAUGAAGGCCUUAGGGUUGUAAAGCUCUUUUACCAGGGAUGAUAAUGACAGUACCUGGAGAAUAAGCUCCGGCUAACUCCGUGCCAGCAGCCGCGGUAAUACGGAGGGAGCUAGCGUUGUUCGGAAUUACUGGGCGUAAAGCGCGCGUAGGUGGCUUUGUAAGUCAGAGGUGAAAUCCCGGGGCUCAACCCCGGAACUGCCUUUGAAACUACAUCGCUAGAGUCUUGGAGAGGUGAGUGGAAUUCCUAGUGUAGAGGUGAAAUUCGUAGAUAUUAGGAAGAACACCAGUGGCGAAGGCGGCUCACUGGCCCGGUACUGACGCUGAGGUGCGAAAGCGUGGGGAGCAAACAGGAUUAGAUACCCCCGUAGUCC